UGCUCCUACGGGGCGCAGCAGUGGGGAAUAUUGCACAAUGGGGGAAACCCUGAUGCAGCAACGCCGCGUGAGUGAAGAAGUAUUUCGGUAUGUAAAGCUCUAUCAGCAGGGAAGAAGCAAGACGGUACCUGACUAAGAAGCCCCGGCUAACUACGUGCCAGCAGCCGCGGUAAUACGUAGGGGGCGAGCGUUAUCCGGAUUCACUGGGUGUAAAGGGAGCGUAGACGGCCAAGCAAGCCAGGGGUGAAAGCCCGGGGCCCAACCCCGGGACUGCCCUUGGAACUGCAUGGCUGGAGGGCGGGAGG
rnacentral:rRNA from 1 species